GAUCAGUGGCUCGAGGACGAACGCUGGCGGCGUGCUUACACAUGCAAGUCGAACGGCAAGAGGUAGCAAUACCUCCUAGAGUGGCGGACUGGUGAGUAACACGUGGGUGACAUACCCUUCAGAUGGGGAUAGCUAUUAGAAAUAGUAGAUAAUACCGAAUACGAGCACAGGGGUUAGAGAUCUGUGAGGAAAGGAGCUAAGGCUCCGCUGAAGGAAUGGCCUGCGGCCCAUUAGCUAGUUGGUGAGGUAAGAGCCCACCAAGGCGAUGAUGGGUAUCCGGCCUUAGAGGGUGAACGGACACAUUGGGACUGAGAUACGGCCCAGACUCCUACGGGAGGCAGCAGCUAAGAAUAUUCCGCAAUGGACGAAAGUCUGACGGAGCGACGCCGCGUGGAUGAAGAAGGCCGGAAGGUUGUAAAAUCCUUUUGAAACUGAAGAAUAAGCGUUGUAGGGAAUGACAGCGUGGUGACAGUAGGUUUUGAAUAAGCAACGGCUAAUUACGUGCCAGCCGCUGC
rnacentral:rRNA from 1 species